AUUGAACGCUGGCGGCAGGCCUAACACAUGCAAGUCGAGCGAGCGGCGGACGGGUGAGUAAUGUCUGGGAAACUGCCCGAUGGAGGGGGAUAACUACUGGAAACGGUAGCUAAUACCGCAUACUAUCGGAUGUGCCCAUAUGGGAUUAGCUAGUAGGUGGGGUAAAGGCUCACCUAGGCGACGAUCCCUAGCUGGUCUGAGAGGAUGACCAGCCACACUGGGACUGAGACACGGCCCAGACUCCUACGGGAGGCAGCAGUGGGGAAUAUUGCACAAUGGGCGCAAGCCUGAUGCAGCCAUGCCGCGUGUAUGAAGAAGGCCUUAGGGUUGUAAAGUACUUUCAGCGGGGAGGCGUUACCCGCAGAAGAAGCACCGGCUAACUCCGUGCCAGCAGCCGCGGUAAUUC
rnacentral:rRNA from 1 species